CCCGCCGGCGGUGCGUCAUCCCGGGGCUGCAAUGGUUUC
rnacentral:misc_RNA from 2 species